AGAGAGGUAGCUCAGAGUUAAGAGCACUGACUCCUCUUCCAGAGGUCCUGAGUUCAAUUCCCAGCUACCAUA
rnacentral:tRNA from 1 species